rnacentral:miRNA from 1 species
CGCCUCUUGAUCUACUGUUCAGU